UGGGGAAUUUUGCACAAUGGGGGCAACCCUGAUGCAGCAACGCCGCGUGGAGGAUGAAGGCUUUUGAGUUGUAAACUCCUUUUCUGAGGGAAGAGUAAGGACGGUACCUCAGGAAUAAGGCCCGGCUAACUACGUGCCAGCAGCCGCGGUAAUACGUAGGGGUCAAGCGUUAUCCGGAAUUACUGGGCGUAAAGCGCACGCAGGCGGCGUGCCAAGUCCGAUGUGAAUGCUCCCGGCUUUACUGGGAGAGGUCGUUGGAUACUGGCAGGCUAGAGGCAGUGAGAGGGAUGCAGAAUUCCUGGUGUAGUGGUGGAAUGCGUAGAUAUCAGGAGGAAUACCAGUGGCGAAAGCGGCAUCCUGGCACUGUACUGACGCUCAUGUGCGAAAGCGUGGGGAGCGAACGGGAUUAGAUACCCCCGUAGUCC
rnacentral:rRNA from 1 species